UUUUUUUUUUUUUUUUUGAGAUGGUGUCUAGCUGUGUCUCCCAGGCUGGAGUACAGUGGAGGUUGCAGUGAGCCAAGAUCACACCAUUGCACUCCGGCCUGGGUGACAAGAGCGAAACUCCAUCUGAAAAAAACAAAAAAAAGAAUUAAUUGGAACUUUAAGCUAAAAUAUAGUCAUAAUAUCUUAAAUGAGACUCUUCUAAGGCCCUUUUUUCUCAUUUUCCUUUUUUGUUUUCCUUCUUUUUUUCCCCCUUUUAUAUAUUUAUGAAAUCUCUUGAGAUCGCAUUUUAAACUUUAGGAAACAAACCAAUAAUGUGAGUAGAAGACACAAGCCCAGAGAGACAUGGUGGAAUAAAAGCAAGAGAAUAAUAUAGAAUAAUAUAGUGAGUAGAUGUUGAGCAAGAAACUGAGGUUUUGAAGCUUAAAUCUCCUUCCCAACUACUAAAAUC
rnacentral:lncRNA from 1 species